rnacentral:lncRNA from 1 species
CUUGUAAUAAUAUUAGAACACAAGGGUUAAUCAUCAAGGGCGAAACUCUACAACGAGCAAAAAAAUCUAUAACCAGGGGAGGAAUGAGGAAUGAUAAUACCUCAAUUUGUUGGCGGUAAAGUAAAAUCGACUCCCUGUCGAUUCCAGGGUCCAUAAUAUCAACAUUAUCCGUAAGCUCUCUCAACUGGACAUCAAGACCAAGAUCCACAUAUUCCACAAAUCGGCCAAAUGAGAGUCUCUUUACUCUAG